rnacentral:misc_RNA from 1 species
CUGUAAAUUGUUAUUGCAAAAAGCUAGCUUCCUAAAGAAAACUGAAAUUCUAAAUUCAGAACCUUGAAUUUUAUUCUUAUAGUAUAUCACAAUUUCAACUAUACUUCAAUCAGAUGCUAUCAAGUUUAUUUCCUAGAAAAACACAAACACCAAAAACAUCCUAUUGCUUUAUCCGUUCAACAAAGCUUAUGAAAUUACUGAAAGAAGAUCCACCUUCACUAGUGCUUUUUCUAGCCAUUUCCUUCAACUUCAGUGAAUUGGCUUCUAUAUCCUUAUCAGAAAGCAGUUUCUCUAACUUUGUCUUGAUUUCAUGCCUAGUUACAAUCCCAUUGUCAUCAGGGAUCAAUCGUAGGCCAACUUUCCAAGUUUCGCAUAUGUAACUCCUGUUAUGGAAUUGAUCUGUAAAGUAAGGCCAACAUAGAAAAGGCACCCCCUUGCUUAGACCCUCCAUGGUUGAAUUCCAUCCGCAGUGAGAAAAGAAACAUGCGGUAGAAGGGUGAGCCAACGCCUUCUCUUGAGGAGCCCAUUUGACUAUCUUCCCAUAUCUUUCGACUCUCUUUGUGAAUCCAUCGGGGAAUUCCACAACCAUUCCGUUUGUAAAAUCUGAUCUAACGACCCACAGAAAUGGCUGGCCUACCAUCUCAAGACCAAGCGCCAGUUCAUUAAAUUGUUGCUGGUCGCAGACAAAUGUACUUCCAAAUGCAGCAUAGAUGACUGAGCGUGGAGGUUGUUGAUCAAGCCAGCUUAAGCUAGUUGAGUCCUCAGCCCAAAAGUUUCCAGCAUAAGUUCCCAAAUGAUCACUUGCAAACAAUGGACCGAUGGGUAAGAUGUUGGGAAUCAAAUUACAGGCUGAUGGCUCAAGUUCAUAAAAAGAGUUGGCGAGAAGCCAAUUACAAAUUUUGACAUUUUCUGCAAUUUUACGAACAAAGUGUUGAAACAUGAAUUUCUCCGUAUCUGGAUUGCCUGGGAAGCUCCAAAGGAGUUCAUUUUUGUUCCAGGCAGGAAUCUUCUUUGACAGGCAGAUACGCUCAUCUUUUAUUUGAAUUCCUGCAGAGAAUUUCAAGUGCUUCUUUCAAGAUCACUACCAUAUUUCAGUCACAGAUCAAAUUCUUUACUACGUAUCAAUGUUUAAAUACUAACCAAAACUAUUGAAUUGCCUUUUUCAUUUCGGUGGUAUGACAUUUUAGCUAGGUUUGUUUGCAUAGAGCAUGCUUUCAGUUGCAUAAUUGUCAGAUGACAAAGCAGAAUAAUUAACAAGUAAAAUUAAAGCCUAACAUAAAUGGUUUAGAAUCUUAGGUUUGAAUCUUCCUAACUGCUAAGACUGGGAUGAGGAGGAUUAUAGCUCAUCCAAGGAACAAGGUUAAAGUUUAG